UACGUAGGGUGCAAGCGUUAAUCGGAAUUGCUGGGCGUAAAGCGUGCGUAGGCGGCUCGGCACGUCCGUUGUGAAAUCGCCCGGCUCAACUGGGCGGGGUCAGCGGAUACGGUCGAGCUUGAGCAAGCUAGGGGGCAAUGGAAUUCCCGGUGUAGUGGUGGAAUGCGUAGAUAUCGGGAGGAACACCAGUGGCGAAGGCGGUUGCCUGGGGCUUUGCUGACGCUGAUGCGCGAAAGCGUGGGGAGCGAGUCCGG
rnacentral:rRNA from 1 species